rnacentral:rRNA from 1 species
AUGGGGAGUUGUUUAAGGACGGACAAAAGCCAUGAGUUGUUUUGCUGGGAAAAGAAACAAGGGAAUGUGGAUGUUAAAGCAUUUGGUUCUGAUGGAUCAUAUUAUUGGUUCUCUGUUCAACUGAAGAUGGCUUCAGAUAGGACUAACAUAUUGAUGUCGUUCGAGACGCCCGCUGGAUUCACCCUUUUCAAGGCUCUGAAUAAGGGCAAGCUCGACAAGGUCGAGUAUGCUGUUGCUGGCCCAUAUAUCCCAAGACAGGGUACACAGAUAGCUCUUGACCUUGCCAUAACCUGGAAACAAAGAGGAGUCAGGUAUGAUACAGCCACGGCGGCUGGCCAGCGACUAACAGGGUGCUCCACCGAUGGUGAAAAUACCUCACAGGAUGAUGUUGGAUAUUAUUCUACAAACUUUGGGCCUACCGGUGGCUGA